rnacentral:pre_miRNA from 1 species
ACAACAUUCGGACCGUCGGUCUACCGAACGUCGUACCCGCUCGGUGGAAGAUCUUUCCUUUGUCGU